rfam:Clostridium formicaceticum strain ATCC 27076, complete genome.
AUACUAUGACAAUAGAAACCUCAUAUAAAGUCGAUAAUAGGGUUCGACCGUUUCUAUAGAAUAACCGAGAAUUAUUCUACUAUGAGUGAAAGUGUAUCUAGG